CAGAUACAGUGAUGAUGGCAUAGUUCAUCAGAACUUCCUGUGACGAAGAGUUCUUUCGCCCCUAUCUGAUGUAUCGC